rnacentral:lncRNA from 1 species
GAAAAUAUAACAUAAGUAAUAAAUUCAAAACAAAAAAUUUAACAUAAUACUCUUAUAACAAAUUUCAACAUAGCAAUAAAUAUGAUUUAUUUUUAUUUCUUCAUAAUAAAGAAAACGUAAGUCUAUAACCUUACUUAACAAUAAAUUCUAUUUUAAUUUAAAAAUUAGAAUACUAAUAAAAUUAUGCUAAUGAGAAAAUAAACAUGGCAUAAAGAAAUAGAUAAUACGAG